GCUGCGAUAAUUUGAUCGUACAAAGGUAGCAUAAUAAUUAGUUUCUUCAUUGGGAACUGGAAUGAAAGGUCGAACGAAAAAGAAACUGUCUCAAUUUAAUUUUAAUUAGAAUUUUAUUUUUAAGUAAAAAAGCUUAAAUAAUUUUAAAAGACGAGAAGACCCUAUAGAGUUUUAUAUUUAUAUAUUUAUUUUUUAGUUUUAGGAUUUAUUUUUAGAAUUAAUUAUUAAAUAUUUGAUUGGGGUGAUUAAAAAAUUUAAUAAACUUUUUUUAUAAAUUUAACAUUAAUAGAUGAUUAAGUGAUCCAUAUAUAAUGAUUAAAAGAUUAAAUUACCUUAGGGAUAAA
rnacentral:rRNA from 1 species